AUUUGGUGUUGGGGGCACUUGAUGCAUAACUUCUUGAAUCGCUCCCAGUAAUCAUAAAGCAACUCCCCUGGGUGCUGCUUGAUAUAAAUCUUCUUUCUUAGACU